UUAAGCGACUAAGCGUACACGGUGGAUGCCCUGGCAGUCAGAGGCGAUGAAGGACGUGCUAAUCUGCGAAAAGCGUCGGUAAGGUGAUAUGAACCGUUAUAGCCGGCGAUGUCCGAAUGGGGAAACCCAGUGCAAUUCGUUGCACUAUCGUUAACUGAAUACAUAGGUUAACGAGGCGAACCGGGGGAACUGAAACAUCUAAGUACCCCGAGGAAAAGAAAUCAACCGAGAUUCCCCCAGUAGCGGCGAGCGAACGGGGAGCAGCCCAGAGUCUGAAUCAGCUUGUGUGUUAGUGGAACGGUCUGGAAAGUCCGACGGUACAGGGUGAUAGUCCCGUACACCAAAAUGCACAGGUUGUGAACUCGAAGAGUAGGGCGGGACACGUGGUAUCCUGUCUGAAUAUGGGGGGACCAUCCUCCAAGGCUAAAUACUCCUGACUGACCGAUAGUGAACCAGUACCGUGAGGGAAAGGCGAAAAGAACCCCGGCGAGGGGAGUGAAAAAGAACCUGAAACCGUGUACGUACAAGCAGUGGGAGCACCUUCGGGUGUGACUGCGUACCUUUUGUAUAAUGGGUCAGCGACUUAUAUUCUGUAGCAAGGUUAACCGUAUAGGGGAGCCGCAGGGAAACCGAGUCUUAACUGGGCGUUAAGUUGCAGGGUAUAGACCCGAAACCCGGUGAUCUAGCCAUGGGCAGGUUGAAGGUUGGGUAACACUAACUGGAGGACCGAACCGACUAAUGUUGAAAAAUUAGCGGAUGACUUGUGGCUGGGGGGUGAAAGGCCAAUCAAACCGGGAGAUAGCUGGUUCUCCCCGAAAGCUAUUUAGGUAGCGCCUCGUGAACUCAUCUUCGGGGGUAGAGCACUGUUUCGGCUAGGGGGUCAUCCCGACUUACCAACCCGAUGCAAACUACGAAUACCGAAGAAUGUUAUCACGGGAGACACACGGCGGGUGCUAACGUCCGUCGUGAAGAGGGAAACAACCCAGACCGCCAGCUAAGGUCCCAAAGUCAUGGUUAAGUGGGAAACGAUGUGGGAAGGCACAGACAGCCAGGAUGUUGGCUUAGAAGCAGCCAUCAUUUAAAGAAAGCGUAAUAGCUCACUGGUCGAGUCGGCCUGCGCGGAAGAUGUAACGGGGCUAAACCAUGCACCGAAGCUGCGGCAGCGACGCUUAUGCGUUGUUGGGUAGGGGAGCGUUCUGUAAGCCUGCGAAGGUGGCCUGUGAGGGCUGCUGGAGGUAUCAGAAGUGCGAAUGCUGACAUAAGUAACGAUAAAGCGGGUGAAAAGCCCGCUCGCCGGAAGACCAAGGGUUCCUGUCCAACGUUAAUCGGGGCAGGGUGAGUCGACCCCUAAGGCGAGGCCGAAAGGCGUAGUCGAUGGGAAACAGGUUAAUAUUCCUGUACUUGGUGUUACUGCGAAGGGGGGACGGAGAAGGCUAUGUUAGCCGGGCGACGGUUGUCCCGGUUUAAGCAUGUAGGCGGAGGUUCCAGGUAAAUCCGGUACCUUUUAACGCUGAGGUGUGAUGACGAGGCACUACGGUGCUGAAGUAACAAAUGCCCUGCUUCCAGGAAAAGCCUCUAAGCAUCAGGUAACAUCAAAUCGUACCCCAAACCGACACAGGUGGUCAGGUAGAGAAUACCAAGGCGCUUGAGAGAACUCGGGUGAAGGAACUAGGCAAAAUGGUGCCGUAACUUCGGGAGAAGGCACGCUGGUGUGUAGGUGAAGUCCCUGCGGACGGAGCUGAGACCAGUCAAAGAUACCAGCUGGCUGCAACUGUUUAUUAAAAACACAGCACUGUGCAAACACGAAAGUGGACGUAUACGGUGUGACGCCUGCCCGGUGCCGGAAGGUUAAUUGAUGGGGUUAUCCGUAAGGAGAAGCUCUUGAUCGAAGCCCCGGUAAACGGCGGCCGUAACUAUAACGGUCCUAAGGUAGCGAAAUUCCUUGUCGGGUAAGUUCCGACCUGCACGAAUGGCGUAAUGAUGGCCAGGCUGUCUCCACCCGAGACUCAGUGAAAUUGAACUCGCUGUGAAGAUGCAGUGUACCCGCGGCAAGACGGAAAGACCCCGUGAACCUUUACUAUAGCUUGACACUGAACAUUGAGCCUUGAUGUGUAGGAUAGGUGGGAGGCUUUGAAGCGUGGACGCCAGUCUGCGUGGAGCCAACCUUGAAAUACCACCCUUUAAUGUUUGAUGUUCUAACGUUGGCCCCUUAUCGGGGUUGCGGACAGUGUCUGGUGGGUAGUUUGACUGGGGCGGUCUCCUCCCAAAGAGUAACGGAGGAGCACGAAGGUUAGCUAAUCCUGGUCGGACAUCAGGAGGUUAGUGCAAUGGCAUAAGCUAGCUUGACUGCGAGCGUGACGGCGCGAGCAGGUGCGAAAGCAGGUCAUAGUGAUCCGGUGGUUCUGAAUGGAAGGGCCAUCGCUCAACGGAUAAAAGGUACUCCGGGGAUAACAGGCUGAUACCGCCCAAGAGUUCAUAUCGACGGCGGUGUUUGGCACCUCGAUGUCGGCUCAUCACAUCCUGGGGCUGAAGUAGGUCCCAAGGGUAUGGCUGUUCGCCAUUUAAAGUGGUACGCGAGCUGGGUUUAGAACGUCGUGAGACAGUUCGGUCCCUAUCUGCCGUGGGCGCUGGAGAAUUGAGGGGGGCUGCUCCUAGUACGAGAGGACCGGAGUGGACGCAUCACUGGUGUUCGGGUUGUCAUGCCAAUGGCACUGCCCGGUAGCUAAAUGCGGAAGAGAUAAGUGCUGAAAGCAUCUAAGCACGAAACUUGCCCCGAGAUGAGUUCUCCCUGAGACUUUAAGUCUCCUGAAGGAACGUUGAAGACGACGACGUUGAUAGGCCGGGUGUGUAAGCGCAGCGAUGCGUUGAGCUAACCGGUACUAAUGAACCGUGAGGCUUAACCUU
rnacentral:rRNA from 2 species